UACGUAGGGGGGCAAGCGUUGUCCGGAAUCAUUGGGCGUAAAGAGCGUGUAGGCGGCCCCGAUAAGUCCGCCGUGAAAGUCCAGGGCUCAACCCUGGAAUGCCGGUGGAAACUGUCGGGCUGGAGUCCGGAAGAGGCGAGUGGAAUUCCUGGUGUAGCGGUGAAAUGCGCAGAUAUCAGGAGGAACACCGAUGGCGAAGGCGGCUUCCUGGACCGACACUGACGCUGAGGCGCGAAAGCUAGGGGAGCAAACGGG
rnacentral:rRNA from 1 species